rnacentral:rRNA from 1 species
CGGCGCCACAAGUGGUGAUCACGAUUAUUGGGCCUAAAGCAUCCGUAGCCGGCCUGCUAAGUUUUCAGUGAAAUCUAACGGCUUAACCGUUAGGCGUGCUGAAAAUACUGGCAGACUUGAGACCGGGAGGAGUCAGAGGAAUUUCCAGGGGAGCGGUAAAAUAUUGUAAUCCUGGAAGGACCAUCAGUGGCGAAGGCGUCUGACUAGAACGGGUUUGACGGUGAGGGAUGAAAGCUAGGGGAGCGAGCCGGAUUAGAUACCCGAGUAGUCC